CUAUCAGCAGCUGCUAAUUCAGUGCUGGCUCAGUGAUGCAUCCUACAAUGGGCAGGGUGACGAGACCAAGGAACAGGUCCCUGGGCUUUGCUAAGCAUCGCCAGAUGUCAUCAUUAGGACAUAUCAGCAGUAAGAGUGCUGAUUGUGUUGUACUGGAGAAUCACAGUCAGCUUCUUUUUCCUAAUUAUGAAGGAGGUAUAUAUCUGAAAACAUUUAAAAUAAUAUAUUAGCCAUAUAGAAUGUCAAGGUUAACAUAGUUCCCAGAUCUGAAAGAAAAGGUAAUAUUAACUUGGAUGUUCUGUAUGCUCUCUGAAGAAAGGUCUGGGAAUAGUCAUCAUUUACUAGAUUUAUCAGGAAUGACAUAAGAGGAUGUGAGCUCUUUGGAGCGGGGAGGAGGGCAUCAAUCCAAAGAUAAAAAAGAAAGAAAAAAACGCAAAUGGACUAUUUGCAAAACAAGAGCUAUUUGGUUUGAGGGCAAACUGACCGGUAGGUUGGACAUAUAAAAGGGCCAACUUAAUGAGAAGAGAGAAUUCCAGUUAGACACUGUCGUCUCAUUGUUUUCCCUCUGCCCAUAAUAAAUCCGUUCUUCCCCCAGCUCCAGUCCCCAAAGUGAAUUGUCUAAUCUACUUAAGACUGGAAAUCGAAAUCUAAACUAAAAUAUAUCUUUUGAAAGCUUUUUUUAUGUUUUGAAAAUUCAUAAACUUAAGUUUGGUUCCAUCUGGGAAAUGUUUGCAAGUCAGGGAAGAAAGAAAAUGUCUUGAAGAUCCGGUUAGGAUUUCUGGAAAUAGAAUUUCAACACAUAAUACCCUCAGAUGAGGGAGCUUAGAUACUCUUUGCAUUCAGAGUAGUAACCAUUUGAGAAGUUGCACAGUGCAGUCAUAGACUUGCAGCAAAGCCAUUUGGUGAGGUUUUCUGUGUUAGUGUGAAAGGCUAAGCCAUUGAGAAUAUUUCUGGGGAAACAUUCUGAGUGACCCUGCUCAUUCCUUAUAUGUAAGUGAGCAGGAGGAGUAAGGCAUUGUGUGCAUUUCUGCUCAUUUUGCUCAAGGUUUACAUGUCAUGGCACCAAAGUCCAUAGGGUUUCUAAUAUCUUCUGAGUCUUGAUGUGAAAUGAAAGUGUAUGGGGGUUUCCUUUGACCAUCACUGGCCCCAAGAGCAAGCGCCCUUAAGCCGCUUGCAUAUUGUACUUUAUCAGCUCUCCUAUCAAGAGUGACCAGGUUGUUGUUCAAUUAAGUAUGUUUGUGGGAUUUUCAAGCCACAAUGAAGUGCUUUUUAUAAAUGGGACAGUCUUGACAAAUAGGUAUUUUGUAUUAAGAUGCUAAAAUGUGGCAAAUUAUUUUCAAAUGAUAACUGAAAAUGGGCAUUUUUGUUAUUUCACAUCUUUUAAAGAACAGCUGACUUUACAUUUCUUUUUCAUUUUGAAUUAGGAAAAUUGUUAAGAAUGGGGUGCGUUACCAUGUGUAGAGUGGAAAGGAGCUGAGAGGAGUGUCUCAUUCCCACGGACACUUUCUGUGCCCUCACACACAGGGCUUAGACGUCUUCUCCACAUUCCACACAGACGCCUAUAAGCGGCCAAUUGCUGUCUGAAAAUUCUUCCUCCUUGUUCCCUAACACUUCUCCCCUCCCUCUCCCCCCCCAAAAAAAAGGAAAGGAAAGGAACGAAAGGAAAAGAAAAGGCUCAGUUACUCUUUUAGGGGAAAAGGUGACUGAACCAAAGCAUAUUCUGGUUUUAAAAGUGAAUCUACAUUUCAUGGGAUACAUAGAUAUGCUGUUUGCAGAUGAUUGCUUGCUCUCCAAUGAACAUUUGAUUGUAUUCAACAAAAAUCGACCACAUGAACUGUCAUCCUUGAAUUGCCACAAAAUAGAUUGGUUGAAACUUGAAGGAUAUAAGCGAGAAAUACUUCAUUUUAUUGUAAGAUUAAGCAUUCUGGUAGAUUUCUGAGUCCUAUAAGUACUGAGUUUUGUAAUAGCAUUACCUCCAUGCCAUUGACAUAAAUGCAAAAGUUUUUGAGUCCCUCUUUAUCCCAGUUACAUAUACCGUCUUGGGACCUGAUUGUUUUAUUACCUCUUCCAAAGUGAUAGAAGUUUCUUAUGAAUAGACAAAAGGUCUUUGGUACCCUAGAGAAAUUUUUGAUACUGCAAACUUGGUUUAUUAUAUAUUAAUUCAUGUAUUGUUUCAUCUAAUAAGCAUUUAUUAAUGUAUAGUUCUCACAGACAUUGUGAAGCGU
rnacentral:lncRNA from 1 species